rnacentral:rRNA from 1 species
GAUGAACGCUGGCGGCGUGCCUAAUACAUGCAAGUCGAGCGAACGGACGAGAAGCUUGCUUUUCUGAUGUUAGCGGCGGACGGGUGAGUAACACGUGGAUAACCUACCUAUAAGACUGGGAUAACUUCGGGAAACCGGAGCUAAUACCGGAUAAUAUUUUGAACCGCAUGGUUCAAAAGUGAAAGACGGUCUUGCUGUCACUUAUAGAUGGAUCCGCGCUGCAUUAGCUAGUUGGUAAGGUAACGGCUUACCAAGGCAACGAUGCAUAGCCGACCUGAGAGGGUGAUCGGCCACACUGGAACUGAGACACGGUCCAGACUCCUACGGCAGGCAGCAGUAGGGAAUCUUCCGCAAUGGGCGAAAGCCUGACGGAACAACGCCGCGUGAGUGAUGAAGGUCUUCGGAUCGUAAAACUCUGUUAUUAGGGAAGAACAUAUGUGUAAGUAACUGUGCACAUCUUGACGGUACCUAAUCAGAAAGCCACGGCUAACUACGUG